rnacentral:rRNA from 1 species
AUGAACGCUAGCUACAGGCUUAACACAUGCAAGUCGAGGGGCAGCAUUUUAGUUUGCUUGCAAACUGAAGAUGGCGACCGGCGCACGGGUGAGUAACACGUAUCCAACCUGCCGAUAACUCCGGAAUAGCCUUUCGAAAGAAAGAUUAAUACCGGAUAGCAUACGAAUAUCGCAUGAUAUUUUUAUUAAAGAAUUUCGGUUAUCGAUGGGGAUGCGUUCCAUUAGUUUGUUGGCGGGGUAACGGCCCACCAAGACUACGAUGGAUAGGGGUUCUGAGAGGAAGGUCCCCCACAUUGGAACUGAGACACGGUCCAAACUCCUACGGGAGGCAGCAGUGAGGAAUAUUGGUCAAUGGGCGAGAGCCUGAACCAGCCAAGUAGCGUGAAGGGUGAAGGCUCUAUGGGUCGUAAACUUCUUUUAUAUGGGAAUAAAGUUUUCCACGUGUGGAAUUUUGUAUGUACCAUAUGAAUAAGGAUCGGCUAACUCCGUGCCAGCAGCCGCGGUAAUACGGAGGAUCCGAGCGUUAUCCGGAUUUAUUGGGUUUAAAGGGAGCGUAGGUGGAUUGUUAAGUCAGUUGUGAAAGUUUGCGGCUCAACCGUAAAAUUGCAGUUGAAACUGGCAGUCUUGAGUACAGUAGAGGUGGGCGGAAUUCGUGGUGUAGCGGUGAAAUGCUUAGAUAUCACGAAGAACUCCGAUUGCGAAGGCAGCUCACUAGACUGUCACUGACACUGAUGCUCGAAAGUGUGGGUAUCAAACAGGAUUAGAUACCCUGGUAGUCCACACAGUAAACGAUGAAUACUCGCUGUUUGCGAUAUACAGUAAGCGGCCAAGCGAAAGCAUUAAGUAUUCCACCUGGGGAGUACGCCGGCAACGGUGAAACUCAAAGGAAUUGACGGGGGCCCGCACAAGCGGAGGAACAUGUGGUUUAAUUCGAUGAUACGCGAGGAACCUUACCCGGGCUUGAAUUGCAGAGGAAGGAUUUGGAGACAAUGACGCCCUUCGAGGUCUCUGUGAAGGUGCUGCAUGGUUGUCGUCAGCUCGUGCCGUGAGGUGUCGGCUUAAGUGCCAUAACGAGCGCAACCCUUAUCUUUAGUUACUAACAGGUCAUGCUGAGGACUCUAGAGAGACUGCCGUCGUAAGAUGUGAGGAAGGUGGGGAUGACGUCAAAUCAGCACGGCCCUUACGUCCGGGGCUACACACGUGUUACAAUGGGGGGUACAGAAGGCGGCUACCUGGUGACAGGAUGCUAAUCCCAAAAACCUCUCUCAGUUCGGAUCGAAGUCUGCAACCCGACUUCGUGAAGCUGGAUUCGCUAGUAAUCGCGCAUCAGCCAUGGCGCGGUGAAUACGUUCCCGGGCCUUGUACACACCGCCCGUCAAGCCAUGAAAGCCGGGGGUACCUGAAGUACGUAACCGCAAGGAGCGUCCUAGGGUAAAACUGGUAAUUGGGGCU